GAGUUUGAUCUUGGCUCAGAACGAACGCUGGCGGCGUGCCUAACACAUGCAAGUCGAACGCGAAAAGCAGUAAUGCUGAGUAGAGUGGCGCACGGGUGAGUAACACGUAACUGACAUGUCCUCGAGACAAGGAUAACCGUUCGAAAGGAUGGCUAAUACUUGGUAAGCCCACGGGAUAGGACCUGAGGGAAAAGGGUCGGGAUUUUUCGAAACCGAUCGCUUGAGGAGUGGGUUGCGGCCCAUCAGCUAGUUGGCGGGGUAAGAGCCCACCAAGGCGACGAUCGGUAGCUGGUCUGAGAGGAUGAUCAGCCACACUGGAACUGAGACACGGUCCAGACUCCUACGGAGGCAGCAGUGGGGAAUAUUGGACAAUGGGCGCAAGCCUGAUCCAGCC
rnacentral:rRNA from 1 species